rnacentral:rRNA from 1 species
AGAGUUUGAUCAUGGCUCAGAGCGAACGCUGGCGGCGUGCUUAACGCAUGCAAGUCGAGUGCGCAGUUUCCCGCCGCAAGGCGGGGGAUGGGCGCACGGCGCACGGGUGCGUAACACGUGGGUAACCUGCCCUUCGAUGGGGGACAACCCCGCGAAAGCGGGGCUAAUACCGCAUGACAUUCCGUUGAUUUCGAUCGCCGGAAUCAAAGCCCGCAAGGGCGUCGGAGGAGGGGCCCGCGCCCGAUUAGCUUGUUGGUGAGGUAAUGGCUCACCAAGGCUAUGAUCGGUAGCCGGUCUAAGAGGACGAUCGGCCACACUGGAACUGAGACACGGUCCAGACUCCUACGGGAGGCAGCAGUGGGGAAUCUUGCGCAAUGGGCGAAAGCCUGACGCAGCGACGCCGCGUGGGGGAUGAAGCCCUUCGGGGUGUAAACCCCUUUCGACCCGGACGAAGGGCCCGCAAGGGAAUUGACGGUACGGGUAGAAGAAGCCCCGGCUAACUACGUGCCAGCAGCCGCGGUAAAACGUAGGGGGCCAGCGUUGCUCGGAAUUACUGGGCGUAAAGGGUUCGUAGGCGGUGCGGCAAGUCGGAAGUGAAAUCUCAGGGCUUAACUCUGAGGCUGCUUCCGAAACUGCCGCGCUCGAGUGCGGGAGAGGCGAGUGGAAUUGCAGGUGUAGCGGUGAAAUGCGUAGAUAUCUGCAGGAACACCCGUGGCGAAGGCGGCUCGCUGGACCGCAACUGACGCUGAGGAACGAAAGCUAGGGGAGCAAACAGGAUUAGAUACCCUGGUAGUCCUAGCCCUAAACCAUCAGGACUUGGGGUGCAUCCCGUUUGGGGUGCGUCCCGGAGCUAACGCGUUAAGUCCUGCGCCUGGGGAGUACGGUCGCAAGGCUGAAACUCAAAUGAAUUGACGGG